rnacentral:rRNA from 1 species
UCGCGAAUUUUUCACAAUGGGCGCAAGCCUGAUGGAGCCAUGCCGCGUGCGGGAUGAAGGCCCUCUGGGUUGUAAACCGCUGUCGAGUGGGGGGAACCGCGUCCAGUGAAUAGCUGGACGUCUGACUGCCCGCUGAAGGAAGCCCCGGCAAAACAUGUGCCAGCAGCCGCGGUAAUACAUGUGGGGCAAGCGUUGUUCGGAAUUACUGGGCAUAAAGGGUGCGUAGGCGGUAUGAUAAGUCAGUGGUGAAAUCCUACGGCCCAACCGUAGUACUGCCAUUGAUACUGUCGUGCUUGAGUGCGUGAGGGGUGACUGGAACGGGUAGUGUAGCGGUGAAAUGCGUAGAUAUUACCCGGAACACCAAAGGCGAAGGCAGGUCACUGGCACGCAACUGACGCUGAGGCACGAAAGCGUGGGGAGCAAACAGG